GAUGAACGCUGGCGGCGUGCCUAAUACAUGCAAGUCGAGCGAACAGACGAGGAGCUUGCUCCUCUGACGUUAGCGGCGGACGGGUGAGUAACACGUGGAUAACCUACCUAUAGGACUGGGAUAACUUCGGGAAACCGGAGCUAAUACCGGAUAAUAUAUUGAACCGCAUGGUUCAAUAGUGAAAGACGGUUUUGCUGUCACUUAUAGAUGGAUCCGCGCCGCAUUAGCUAGUUGGUAAGGUAACGGCUUACCAAGGCAACGAUGCGUAGCCGACCUGAGAGGGUGAACGGCCACAAUGGAACCGAGGAACGGUCCAGACUCCUACGGGAGGCAGCAGUUGGGAAUCUUCCGCAAUGGGCGAAAGCCUGACGGAGGAACGCCGCGUGAGGGAUGAAGGUCUUCGGAUCGUAAAACUCUGUUAUUAGGGAAGAACAAAUGUGUAAGUAAAUAUGCACGUCUUGACGGUAACUAAUCAGAAAGCCACGGCUAACUACGUG
rnacentral:rRNA from 1 species